UCUUAGAUUUUCUGGAGACAAACAACUGCGAAAGCAUUUGCCUAAAAUACUUCCAUUAAUCAAGCACGAAAGUUAAGGCAGUGAAGACGAUCAGAUACCGUCGUAUUAUUAACCAUUAACUAUGCCGACUAGGCUUUGGAUGAAAGAUUUUAAAAUAAGAAUUUUCUCUUCGGAGUUUAUUCUUAGAUUGCUUCCUUCAGUGCCUUAUGAGAAAUCAAAGUCUUUGGGUUCUGGGGCGAGUAUUCGCGCAAGCGAGAAAGUUAAAAGAAUUGACGGAAGGGCA
rnacentral:rRNA from 1 species